rnacentral:tRNA from 1 species
AGUAUUAUAGUUUAAAAAAAAUUUUAAAUUGCAAAUUUAAAGAAAGAGAUAUCUUAAUACUU